GAUCCUGUCUCACGAUGAACGCUAGCGGUAGGCUUAACACAUGCAAGUCGAGGGGCAGCGCACAGUAACUCUACUCUGGCGGCGACCGGCGGAAGGGUGCGUGACACGUGAGCGACUUGCCCGUCACACGGACAUAACCGCUGGAAACGGCGACUAAUAUCCCAUAUGAUGGCGAUCUGCCUGGAUUGUCAUUGAGAGAUUCAUCGGUGACGGAUAGGCUCUCGGGGCAUUACCUAUACGGUGGGGCAACGGCCCACCGUGGCGACCAUGCCUACGGGUUCUGAUAGGAAGACCCCCCACGCUGGGACUGAGACACGGCCCAGACUCCUACGGGAGGCACCUAUGAGGAAUAUUGGUCAAUGGGCGGAAGCCUGAACCAACCAUGCCGCGUGAAGGACUAAGGCCCUAUGGGUCGUAUACUUCUUUAUACGCAGAGCAAUAAGGGUCUCACGAGAUCCGAUCAGAGUAUGCGUACAAUAAGCAUCGGCUAACUCCGUGCCAGCAGCCGCGGUAAUACGGGGGAUGCUAGCGUUAUCCGGAUUGAUUGGGUAUAAAGGGUGCGUAAGCGGAACUGCAAUUCACCGGUGAAAUCCCCGCGCUCAACGCGGGAGUUGCCGGUGAUACUGUACAUCUGGAAUGCUCUUGCCGUGGGAGGCAUGAGUAGUGUAGCGGUGAAUGCAUAGAUAUACUCAGCACGCCGAUGCGAAGGCAUCUCACGAAGGGGCGAUUGACGCUGAGGCACGAAAGCGUGGGUAUCGAACAGGAUUAGAUACACUGGUAGUCCACGCAGUAUACGAUGAUGGCUAACUGUCGGGUUUUAGGAUUCGGCGGCCAAGCGAAAGCGAUAAGCCAUCCACGUGGGGAGUAUGACCGCAAGGUUAAACUCAAAGGAAUUGAGCGGGGGCCCGCACAAGCGGAGGAACAUGUGGUAUAAUUCGAUGAUACGCGAGCAACCUUACACAGGGUCGUACGGCAUAUGAAUCAUCCAGAGAUGGAUGAGUUUUCGGACAGAUGUCGAGGUGCUGCAUGGUUGUCGUCAGCUCGUGCCGUGAGAUGUCGGCUUAAGUGCCAUAACGAGCGCAACCCUUACCGCUAGUUACCAUCAAGUGAAGUUGGGGACUCUAGGCGGGACUGCCACCGACAAGGUGUGAGGAAGGGGGGGAUGACGUCAAAUCAGCACGGCCCUUACGUCUGGGGCGACACACGUGUUACAAUGGCGGUUACAGAGGGGAGCCACCCCGCGAGGGGGCGCUGAACUCAAAAGACCGUUUCCGUUCGGACUGGAGUUUGCAACCUGACUCCACGAAGCUGGAUUCGGUAGUAAUCGCGCAUCAGCCAUGGCGCGGUGAAUACGUUCCCGGGCCUUGUACACACCGCCCGUC
rnacentral:rRNA from 1 species